GGGGGGCCCGCACAAGCGGUGGAGCAUGUGGUUUUAAUUCGAUGCAACGCGAAGAACCUUACCUACUCUUGACAUCCAGAGAACUUUCCAGAGAUGGAUUGGUGCCUUCGGGAACUCUGAGACAGGCGCUGCAUGGCUGUCGUCAGCUCGUGUUGCGAAAUGUUGGGUUAAGUCCCGCAACGAGCGCAACCCUUAUCCUUUGUUGCCAGCGGUCCGGCCGGGAACUCAAAGGAGACUGCCAGUGAUAAACUGGAGGAAGGUGGGGAUGACGUCAAGUCAUCAUGGCCCUUACGAGUAGGGCUACACACGUGCUACAAUGGCGCAUACAAAGAGAAGCGAACUCGCGAGAGCAAGCGGACCUCAUAAAGUGCGUCGUAGUCCGGAUUGGAGUCUGCAACUCGACUCCAUGAAGUCGGAAUCGCUAGUAAUCGUAGAUCAGAAUGCUACGGUGAAUACGUUCCCGGGCCUUGUACACACCGCCCGUCACACCAUGGGAGUGGGUUGCAAAAGAAGUAGGUAGCUUAACCUUCGGGAGGGCGCUUACCACUUUGUGAUUCAUGACUGGGGUGAAGUCGUAACAAGGU
rnacentral:rRNA from 1 species